UUUAUAGGAAGGCAGGGUAGAGAUAGCUAAAAAUGACGCCCCCGUCCAAUUUCAUUGAAAAAGGCUGUCAUUCCCAGAUGAUAGAUCAAGCUUUAAAAGUCAAAGCAAGGUUAACGUGAAUUGCGCAAAAAGUACGAGGGAUAGAAAUAACAGUCAGAGGCCUUCGAAAGCAUGACGUCAUCUUACAAGUUAGCGUUGUUAUUGAUCAUUCCUUGCGUUCUUCUUUCGAUGUACUCUCAAAAUGUUGAGGGACAGCUUCCCGGAAUUCGCUGGGGAAGAGGUUUUCAAGAAGGCGAUGGUCUUCAAAGAGAAAGCGAGGGAAAACUUUGGAGACUGCUGAAAAAGAGGCUUUAUCGACUUCAACUGGAUGAUACAGCCCAAGACAAGGAGGUAUCGUAGGUCAUCCAGACUACUUGACAAAGUCGUCGAUAGUGAAGGAAAAUGAUAAGGAAUUUACAAAUACGAAAUUUAUUUACAUUUUACCAUUCAUUGAAAUCUCAUCACGAACAGGUUUCGUAUAAAUUUUAGGUAAUUACAGAAUGGAAAUCCUUGUGUUGUUGGACGUCCUGAAUUCAUUCUGUAUUCCUGUUGCUCUCUAUUUAAAUGUAAAAGGUUAAAGUUUCGGUUUAUUGUCUAUAUCAUCCAUAAUAAAUUCAAUGAGUACGUCAGUCAUUAAACAAAAGUACAUCGACCAUUGAUGUAAUCUAAAUUAGAAGCUAUUAGAGAAUAUCCCAGUUCUCAAAUACUAGCCAAUCUAAAUAAAAUAAAAAAUAUGCCAAAGGCCUGUCGUUUUUCUUAUGACUCAAU
rnacentral:lncRNA from 1 species